rnacentral:rRNA from 1 species
UACGUAGGGUGCAAGCGUUAAUCGGAAUUAUUGGGCGUAAAGAGCUCGUAGGCGGUUUGUCGCGUCUGUCGUGAAAGCUUGGGGCUUAACCCCAAGUCUGCGGUGGAUACGGGCAGACUAGAGGCAGGUAGGGGAGAACGGAAUUCCCGGUGUAGCGGUGAAAUGCGCAGAUAUCGGGAGGAACACCGGUGGCGAAGGCGGUUCUCUGGGCCUGUACUGACGCUGAGGAGCGAAAGCGUGGGGAGCGAACAGG